rnacentral:rRNA from 1 species
UGGGGAGUACGGUCGCAAGAUUAAAACUCAAAGGAAUUGACGGGGACCCGCACAAGCGGUGGAUGAUGUGGAUUAAUUCGAUGCAACGCGAAAAACCUUACCUACCCUUGACAUGUACGGAAUCCUGAAGAGAUUUGGGAGUGCUCGAAAGAGAACCGUAACACAGGUGCUGCAUGGCUGUCGUCAGCUCGUGUCGUGAGAUGUUGGGUUAAGUCCCGCAACGAGCGCAACCCUUGUCAUUAGUUGCUACGAAAGGGCACUCUAAUGAGACUGCCGGUGACAAACCGGAGGAAGGUGGGGAUGACGUCAAGUCCUCAUGGCCCUUAUGGGUAGGGCUUCACACGUCAUACAAUGGUACAUACAGAGGGCCGCCAACCCGCGAGGGGGAGCUAAUCCCAGAAAGUGUAUCGUAGUCCGGAUUGGAGUCUGCAACUCGACUCCAUGAAGUUGGAAUCGCUAGUAAUCGCGGAUCAGCAUGUCGCGGUGAAUACGUUCCCGGGUCUUGUACACACCGCCCGUCACACUAUGGGAGCGGGUUCUGCCAGAAGUAGUUAGCCUAACCGCAAGGGGGGCGAUUACCACGGCAGGGUUCGUGACUGGGGUGAAGUCGUAACAAGGUAACC